rnacentral:rRNA from 1 species
GUAGGUGGCAAGCGUUGUCCGGAAUUAUUGGGGCGUAAAGCGCGCGCAGGCGGUUCUUUAAGUCUGAUGUGAAAGCCCACGGCUCAACCGUGGAGGGUCAUUGGAAACUGGAGAACUUGAGUACAGAAGAGGAAAGCGGAAUUCCACGUGUAGCGGUGAAAUGCGUAGAGAUGUGGAGGAACACCAGUGGCGAAGGCGGCUUUCUGGUCUGUAACUGACGCUGAGGCGCGAAAGCGUGGGGAGCAAACAGGGAUUAGAUACCCUGGUAGUCCACGCCGUAAACGAUGAGUGCUAAGUGUUAGGGGGUUUCCCGCCCCUUAGUGCUGCAGCUAACGCAUUAAGCACUCCGCCUGGGGAGUACGGCCGCAAGGCUG